rnacentral:rRNA from 1 species
AAAGAUUAAGCCAUGCAUGUCUCAGUGCAAGCCGAAUUAAGGUGAAACCGCGAAAGGCUCAUUAAAUCAGCUAUAAUUUAAUUGAUGGUACAAUCACGGUUACUUGGAUAACUGUGGCAAUUCUAGAGCUAAUACAUGCAAAACGAGUUCCGACCGCCUCGCGAGGGCGCGCGGAACGAAUGCUUUUAUUAGAACAAAACCAAUCGGAUCUUUCGCGUCGCUCGCGGAAGCCCGCAAAUUCUUGGUGACUCUGAAUAACUUUAGGCUGAUCGCACGGUCACGCACCGGCGACGCAUCUUUCAAAUGUCUGACUUAUCACUUUCGAUGGUAGGCUACGCGCCUACCAUGGUGAUAACGGGUGACGGGGAAUCAGGGUUCGAUUCCGGAGAGGGAGCCUGAGAAACGGCUACCACAUCCAAGGAAGGCAGCAGGCGCGCAAAUUACCCACUCCCGGCACGGGGAGGUAGUGACGAAAAAUAACGAUGCAGGACUCUUUCCGAGGCUCUGCAAUCGGAAUGAGCACACUCUAAAUCAUUUAACGAGUAUCCAUUGGAGGAUUGCGGCGUUAGAGGUGAAAUUCUUGGAUCGUCGCAAGACUAACCUAAGCGAAAGCAUUUGCCAAGGAUGUUUUCUUUAAUCAAGAACGAAAGUUGGAGGUUCGAAGGCGAUCAGAUACCGCCCUAGUUCUUACCGUAAACUAUGCCGGCUAGCGAUCCGCCGAUGUUCGUUUAGAUGAUUCGGCGGGCAGCUUGAGGGAAACCAAAGCCUUCGGGUUCCGGGGGAAGUAUGGUUGCAAAGCUGAAACUUAAAGGAAUUGACGGAAGGGCACCACCAGGAGUGGAGCUUGCGGCUUAAUUUGACUCAACACGGGAAACCUCACCAGGCCCGGACACCGGAAGGAUUGACAGAUCAAGAGCUCUUUCUUGAUUCGGUGGGUGGUGGUGCAUGGCCGUUCUUAGUUGGUGGAGCGAUUUGUCUGGUUAAUUCCGAUAACGAACGAGACUCUAGCCUGUUAACUAGGCGACGAUCCGGUUUUCCGGCAUGGAGCGAUUCAUUUCAAACACUGCCGGCGACGUGACUUCUUAGAGGGACAAGCGGCUUCUAGCCGCACGAGAUUGAGCAAUAACAGGUCUGUGAUGCCCUUAGAUGUUCUGGGCCGCACGCGUGCUACACUGAAGGAAUCAACGUGUACGACCGUCCUAGGCCGAGAGGUCCGGGCAACCCGUUGAAUUUCCUUCGUGAUAGGGAUCGGGGCUUGCAAUUGUUUCCCGUGAACUAGGAAUUCCCAGUAAGCGCGAGUCAUAAGCUCGCGUUGAUUACGUCCCUGCCCUUUGUACACACCGCCCGUCGCUACUACCGAUCGAACGAUUUAGUGAGGUCUUUGGACUCGUACGCGGGCGCACUUCGCGGCGAUUGCUCGCAGCUGCGAGGAAGACGACCAAACUUAAUCGUUUAGAGGAAGUAAAAGUCGUAACAA